rnacentral:rRNA from 1 species
AGCACGGGUGCUUGCACCUGGUGGCGAGUGGCGAACGGGUGAGUAAUGCGUCGGAACGUACCGAGUAAUGGGGGAUAACGCAGCGAAAGUUGUGCUAAUACCGCAUACGCCCUGAGGGGGAAAGUGGGGGACCGCAAGGCCUCACGUUAUUCGAGCGGCCGACGUCUGAUUAGCUAGUUGGUGGGGUAAAGGCCUACCAAGGCGACGAUCAGUAGCGGGUCUGAGAGGAUGAUCCGCCACACUGGGACUGAGACACGGCCCAGACUCCUACGGGAGGCAGCAGUGGGGAAUUUUGGACAAUGGGGGCAACCCUGAUCCAGCCAUUCCGCGUGAGUGAAGAAGGCCUUCGGGUUGUAAAGCUCUUUCAGCUGGAACGAAACGGUACGCGCUAACAUCGUGUGCUAAUGACGGUACCGGCAGAAGAAGCACCGGCUAACUACGUGCCAGCAGCCGCGGUAAUACGUAGGGUGCGAGCGUUAAUCGGAAUUACUGGGCGUAAAGCGUGCGCAGGCGGAUUGUUAAGCAAGACGUGAAAUCCCCGGGCUUAACCUGGGAAUGGCGUUUUGAACUGGCAGUCUAGAGUGCGUCAGAGGGGGGUGGAAUUCCACGUGUAGCAGUGAAAUGCGUAGAGAUGUGGAGGAACACCGAUGGCGAAGGCAGCCCCCUGGGAUGACACUGACGCUCAUGUACGAAAGCGUGGGUAGCAAACA